rnacentral:rRNA from 1 species
UACGUAGGUGGCGAGCGUUGUCCGGAUUUAUUGGGCGUAAAGCGCGCGCAGGCGGUCGCGUAAGUCUGCUGUGAAAUCUCCCUGGCUCAACCGGGAGGGGGCGGCGGAGACUGCGGGACUGGAGGGACCUAGAGGCCGGUGGAAUUCCCGGUGUAGUGGUGAAAUGCGUAGAGAUCGGGAGGAACACCUGUGGCGAAAGCGGCUCACUGGACCACAACUGACGCUGAGGCGCGAAAGCUAGGGGAGCAAACAGG